CUUCACCCCUUCCCUUUUGACUUGGAGGAACUGAGACUCAGAAAUUCUUCCAUCACCAUAUAUGAAGUCUCUCUCAGAAGGGUGGAGAGACCUGGCCAAAUGUGAUUGGUGGAAAAGUUGCCAUCAUCUCCUUUAAAGAGUGAAUCACAGAGAUGCCUGGAAAGAGACCCAUUUGCCUCAAUAUGCAGAGUGUACCUGGAUUCCUCUCCAUGGAGUGGUCCUGCCUGCUCCUCCUGCUCCUCACUUACCCCACAGGUAACAGAAUGAGUGAAAUCCCCAGGAACAGAUCUGUGCUGAGAUCCAGGUGUGAAUUUUCUAUAGGCGCAACUAAACUUCUUUCUCUUUUCGGGUUUUAAUCUUUUUGCAGGUUCCUCCUCCCAGGUUGUGCUGACUCAGAGGCCCUCAGCAUCCUUUUCCUCAGGUGAGACAGUCCGUCUCUCCUGCACCUUGAAUACUGGAUACAGUAUCAGCAGCUAUAGGGUCGGGUGGUACCAGCAGCUAUCAGGUGGUGCUCCACGGUUUGUAUACCACUACUACAGCAGUAGUAGUCAGGGCAGAGGCACCGGGGUCCCAGAGAGAUUCAGUGUCUCCCCUGAUUCCUCCAGCAACCUCUGGAAUUUAGUGAUCACAGGCGCUCAAGCUGAGGAUGAGGCUGAUUAUUACUGUUGCACAUGGGAUGGCAGCAGCAGCGUGUUC